rnacentral:rRNA from 1 species
UAAAUACUCCUGACUGACCGAUAGUGAACCAGUACCGUGAGGGAAAGGCGAAAAGAACCCCGGCGAGGGGAGUGAAAAAGAACCUGAAACCGUGUACGUACAAGCAGUGGGAGCACCUUUAUGGUGUGACUGCGUACCUUUUGUAUAAUGGGUCAGCGACUUAUAUUCUGUAGCAAGGUUAACCGAAUAGGGGAGCCGCAGGGAAACCGAGUCUUAACUGGGCGUCUUAGUUGCAGGGUAUAGACCCGAAACCCGGUGAUCUAGCCAUGGGCAGGUUGAAGGUUGGGUAACACUAACUGGAGGACCGAACCGACUAAUGUUGAAAAAUUAGCGGAUGACUUGUGGCUGGGGGUGAAAGGCCAAUCAAACCGGGAGAUAGCUGGUUCUCCCCGAAAGCUAUUUAGGUAGCGCCUCGUGAAUUCAUCUCCGGGGGUAGAGCACUGUUUCGGCUAGGGGGUCAUCCCGACUUACCAACCCGAUGCAAACUGCGAAUACCGGAGAAUGUUAUCACGGGAGACACACGGCGGGUGCUAACGUUCGUCGUGAAGAGGGAAACAACCCAGACCGCCGGCUAAGGUCCCAAAGUCAUAAUUAAGUGGGAAACGAAGUGGGAAGGCUCAGACAGCCAGGAUGUUGGCUUAGAAGCAGCCAUCAUUUAAAGAAAGCGUAAUAGCUCACUGGUCGAGUCGGCCUGCGCGGAAGAUGUAACGGGGCUAAAUUAUGCACCGAAGCCGCGGCAGCGAUAUGUAAAUAUUGUUGGGUAGGGGAGCGUUCUGUAAGCCUGUGAAGGUGUGCUGUGAGGC